UUAGCGUAGCUGACAUUCCUGCUGCGGAUCAGUGACGAGGACAAAGAAACAGCAUCCAUCAUGUGACAGCUUCACACUCCACCGUCUGCAGUGGGUGUCUCUCACCCUCAGGUCCAGACUUGUCUCGUCAGUCUGGUUCUCGUCUCUUUAAAGAUAAACUUCAUUCUUCUUCAUUCAACCACAAACACUUCCUGUUCUGUCAAAACAGCAGAAGAAGAAACAGCUGCCGCUCCCUGCACACAGGAAACCCUCACAGACCUCACACUGUACCUGGUCCUGGUCCUGAUAAUGGACUUUUUUGCGUGUUGUUCAUUUUUCAAUGAACUCUGUCACUUCUCUUAAUUUUACUGUCACACUCUGCCAUUUUUAACCUGGACCUGGUUCUGAUUUUGGACCUGUACCUAAGCCUGAUUCAUUAUUGGCUCUGGACCUGGACUUGAGCUCACACUGAUUGUACUGACCCAGAUCUGGUCCUCAUUAUCAACCUUUACUGCAACACACUGUUGUUUUUAACCUGAACCAGGACCAAGACCUGUUCCUAUGGACAGAGAGCUGAUCCAGCACCUGACCCAGCACUGUGCAGACUUGGACCUGAACCUGGAUCUGGUCCUGAUCUCACACUGCACUGGUCUUGAACCUGAUAAUUGACCUUGUUCCUAUUGUUCAUUCCUAAAUUAACACAUUAAAACUGGACCUGGACCUUUUACUGUCAUUCACUGUCAUCUAUGGACCUGGUUCUGGUCUGUUACCUGAACCUGGUCCUGGCCCUCUAUAUACAGACAUGUAUGUAUGAUAAUGUUAAUGAAAAGUGUUUCAGGUGGGUGAGUUUGCUGCUCUCAUCCUUCUGUUAACAGUUUGUGGUUCAUUAAGAGAACACAAACUGUCUGAGAGAGAGCUGUGUCCAGGUGUGGACAGACAGACAGCAGGAGAUUGUUUUGAAGAGACAUCAAAGCUACCAGCAUGUUGCUGCUGCUGCUGCUGCUGGCGGCCAUGACGGCUUCAUGCCUACGUGAUGUUUGUACAAGUCCUGACAGCGAGAUGAAGAAGAGACGAAGAAGAGAUAAAGAAGAGAGACGGACGGAUGGAGAGAACAGAUAGACGACAGACACAGAUUAAAAGGCAACAGGUAUGACUGGUUUGGAUCCAAAUAAACAACCAGAGGUCAGGUGAUGUUUCCCAGCAUGCAGCAGGGUGAUGACAUCUCAGGAACAAAUCUGAUUGGACGCAAGGAGGUGGUUAUGAAGUAACAGGUGAUUGGUUCAGUUUGAGCCAUGACACAAUGACAUCAGCACAGGACAAACAGGAAGUUACAGUUUCAACAAAGUCCUUCACCUGAAUUCCAAUCAGACACUCAGAUACUGCAACUGUACUGCAACUGUACAGCAACUGUACUGCAACUGUACUGCAUACACACUACAGCUGUGGUUUGAAGCCACAGUAGCAGCUCUAUGGAUGCUAAUGUCUGCAUGUCUGCCUACCUGCCUGUCUGUCUGCAUGUCUGUCCUCCACUUUGGUCCCGACUGAAACAUCAUGUGAUGAAACGUGCUUCAUCGUUCAUGCUCCCCUCAGGAUGAACUGUAAUAACUCUGGUGAUCCUCUGACUUUCCAUCUAGCGCCACCAUCAGGUCGACAUGUUAAUGUGUGCAGAACUAAUGACAUUCCCAUCAGCUGUUUCCAUCGUGUUUCCCAUCGUCUGAGCUUUUAAUGACGUCAUCUCGCUGUGUCUUCUUGUGCGAUGCUUUAAUGGCAGCGACUGGAGAAUCAGCUCGACCAGCUGUUUACCUCCAUCAGCCAAUGAGCUCGUGUUCUCACAGCAGCAGCAGCGGGUGGAAACAAGGAUUUAUUUACAUUUUGACUACAGACAACCAGCAACUGUGAGCUGUCGUCUGCAUAACUGCAUAUUUAACAGGGUUUUAGGGUGAUUUCAAUGUUCAUUGCUCAUUUCUUCAGUUUUAAAAAGUAGUAAAACAUUGAAGUAAAAACCAGUCCACUACAACACUGUUACAACACACUAAAAUAAAGUAGAUUUCCACUGAUUAAACCUUCUGUUCGCCAUCCAAUCAGAGUACUUUUCUCCUGCUAACAAACAUCUGAUUGGUUUCCUCUCGAUGUCUUGCCUGAACAUUCUGUUUGACCAGGAAAUACGUCACUUUAAAGAAGCCUGAAGCUCUCAGAAUGAUCCCUCAGUGAUCCUAAACAUCUUAUCAACCUUUGAGCCACAAAAAUAUCCUGAUUUUCCAGAGAGCUGUAAACAUCAUCGGGCUGAGAUGCUAUCAGAGCGCGAUGCUCUGAGCAGAUAGAGAUCAGACCGGCACUGUCAUGCCUCUUUAAGAAGACAGUACAUUUCUAUGAGUCGUCCUGCUCUGAUAAGACUUCUCACGGCACGAAAAACACAGAGUAUCAACACACUUGUGUAACACACCAGCACACAACAUAACACAACACAUAACAUGACACACAAAUAGACUCUGAAAUUACAUGCUGUAUAUUAGUGCAGUUUGAUAGUUUUUAUCUUUUCUUUCAUCUUUGUUUCCAAAGUUUUGCUUUUUUGGCUUUGAAGCUGAUAUGAUUUUCAUUUCUUUCUGCUGCAGCUAUUUGUUUAUAGGGGUCCCCCUCCACCCUCCAUCGUCCAUCCAUCUUCUGCCUCUUCUCCAGCUGCAGCUCUUUGUGUCCGCAGCGAAAUCAACUCAUUUCAAUGGAACUUCUGUGAUUCACGUUUUACAUUGAGUUCAACUUCCGUGAACUUUGACCUGUGAAUUUACAUUGUUGACCAACUGCAGGGUUUUUUCAAAGUCUAACACAGUGGGCCUCAAACAAAAUCAACUGCACUCCCCCAAACCCCCACCUCCACAUUUUAAAACUGUUUGAGUUUUGUGUCGGUAUAUCUACAUAUUGUCAACACAAAAAAGUUGAUAUAAAUGGCUUUUUUUACUCCUAUUGUUAUUCUUUGUCUUACUUCUAUAUGCUCUAAGUUUUGGAACAACAGCUCCCAUAAUGCUUUGGGGGAUGUAAACAGGGAGUAUAAUGUUGCCAUGGAGUCAGUGACUUAGCUGUGAGAUACAACUUGAGCUAUUUAGUCAAACUGUCCCCAUCAAAAGUAGAUGAAUCAGCUGUUAGCAGCUCCUGUCUGCAGUGGAAAAACUACAUCAUCUGCAAAGAAGCAGAGAUGCAUGAUGGUUAAAAGAAAGUUUCAGCAUAUUUCAACCUGGCACCUCUGUUAAACAAAAAAAACAUAUAUCACAUAUAUCAGGGUGAGCUGCUAGAGUCUCCUACAGUUUCUGAAUACACGAUUUUUACAUGAAUCAUUUCAAAGGUUCUGAGUCUCUGAGUCCGGCCUAAAGCAUACACAGGAAGUAGCUGCCUGGAACAGCCAUGUUGACUAACUGCAUAGGGAUCUACAUCUGGGUCAACUUACCAGCUGACCUAAUUACUCUCAAUAUUCAUAAGCACACACCAGUUUGUUUAGACUUUCAGCAGAUGUAAAGCCUCUGCAGGUAGCUGUAAAGUUUAUUCCAGGUGACUAGUUUCUGUGUUUACUUUGGGUCAGACUCAGAGACAAGAGUUUGAAAUGAUUCAUGUAAAAAUCACGUUUAUUCAGAAAGCUGCAGGAGACUCAGCAGCUCGCCCUAAUAUACGUUUUGUCCUCGUUUCCCUGCAAGUCAGCACGACCCACAGAGUCACAAUGGACACAUACGACAGGUUAAAUAAACCAGAAUGUUCUUUAUUGUUUAUUAAUGUUAUGUCAGAUGACCCUGUUGUGCAACAGUUUAAUCCAUUAUUGUACCAUUACUUACGGUACAUUAAAGUUAUAAGUCCUGUUAA